CCCUUCGUGGUGUAGUGGUUAGCAUGCUCGAUGCGUCACCGAGAGGUUCGUGGUUCGAUUCCCGGCGAAGGCG
rfam:Stegodyphus mimosarum contig3027, whole genome shotgun sequence.